AUUAAACGCUGGCGGCAUGCCUUACACAUGCAAGUCGAACGGCAGCACGGGGGCAACCCUGGUGGCGAGUGGCGAACGGGUGAGUAAAGCAUCGGAACGUGCCCUGGAGUGGGGGGAUAACGUAGCGAAAGUUACGCUAAUACCGCAUAUUCUGUGAGCAGGAAAGCAGGGGAUCGCAAGACCUUGCGCUCUGGGAGCGGCCGAUGUCGGAUUAGCUAGUUGGUGGGGUAAAGCCUACCAAGGCGACGAUCCGUAGCGGGUCUGAGAGGAUGAUCCGCCACACUGGGACUGAGACACGGCCCAGACUCCUACGGGAGGCAGCAGUGGGGAAUUUUGGACAAUGGGCGCAAGCCUGAUCCAGCCAUGCCGCGUGAGUGAAGAAGGCC
rnacentral:rRNA from 1 species